GCAUUAUCAUCAUGUUUUCUCGUGUGCUCUUGGUUUGCUUGGCCCUGUUCGCUGUGGCAUAUGCACAACCUGUCCCUGGGGAUACGGUCGAUGUCAGUGAUGUUCCCCGUUCGGGUCUAGCUCGUCCUUUGGUUGUUCCCGAGCCAGACGAUAAUCCCCAGCAGCGCACUUUGUUUCUUCUCCUCCCGAUUCUAUUCCCGGAAUACUAUUACUACUCGUAAUUGAAUAAAUAAAAAACAUUGAUCAAGCUUA